UACGGGGGGAGCAAGCGUUGUUCGGAUUUACUGGGCGUAAAGGGCGCGUAGGCGGUCAGCACAAGUCAGUUGUGAAAUCUCCGGGCUUAACUCGGAAAGGUCAACUGAUACUGUGCGACUAGAGUGCAGAAGGGGCAACUGGAAUUCUCGGUGUAGCGGUGAAAUGCGUAGAUAUCGAGAGGAACACCAAUGGCGAAGGCAGCUCGCUGGGACGGUACUGACGCUGAGACGCGAAAGCGUGGGGAGCAAACAGG
rnacentral:rRNA from 1 species